UCAUGUAACACAGCUUUGGUGUGCUGCCUAAAGCAUUAGUAAUGACAAGGUUUAGUGCCAUUGUACAUCUGUUCCAGGAAUUCCUGGGAAAAGCAUGGGAACUUGGUUUAAAUGAGAAAUCAUAAGUUCACGUUGUGGAUUUCUUACAAUAUUAAAUACAGUUUCCAAUUUCUUUUUUAUUUUUCUUCUGCUCUCUUGACUUCAAUACCUCUGUCACUGGUUACUGUCUUUAAACCAGAAGCUGUUGUGAAUGGAAACGAUAUCUACCCAGUACUUGUUGGAGCACCUUGUUCUUGACAGGCAGCCCUUGGCACUGCCUCAGCAAUGCCACAGCACCAGGUGAGAUUUUUCAGUGACAGACAGGCAAUACCUUUUUCAAUUGAAUCAACAGAGCUGGAUUUAGAUGCUGCAGGAGCCUGAUGGAGACAACAGAAAUUCUGGUGCAGGAGACCUGACAAGUUCAAGACCUGGUUCUGAUCUGGAUGCCAGUUGUUUCACAGAGUGCAAGAGACAAAGAAUUGUCAAGGCACUGCAUGAUGGCGCUGAAAGGUAAAGGGUAAUAUCAUUAAGGAGAAGAACCUUACCGGAUAAUUUUAGUUAUAGAAUCAAAUUUUUUUUCACAGAAGGACUAAAAAGAUAUACCUUUGUCAUCAUGUGUUCUAUCCACCUAAGUGUCCUUGUUUAAAAAAGUAUCACUGGGUAAUGGAAUAAGUGAAUCAAUUCUAAAGAAUUAAAUUGCAGCACCCUGAGCUGCAUGGAAACAUUGCACAGAUCUCAUGAUUUCUGUCAUAUCAUAACAGCAGCAUUUGUUUCCUCAAAGUUAAACACGAGAAUCCCCUGCGUUUUGUUCCUGUUUAUCAUGGCUUUAAACCUUCACCUUCAGAAAAGAGUCAAAUGGUGGGCAGCAAAGGAAAGAAAAAUAUCUUUUAGUAUCUUGCAGUUGUACGUGUUGUGUGCUGUUGAACUCCUCAGAGCUGGCCAGCUCCAAUCACUUCUCAUCUGUCGAUUUUUUCUACACAAGCACAGAAAAGCAACUUUUUAUGUCAGAGUGAUGAGCCACUAGAGGCACAUGACAGUCAGAACUUCAUAGUGGACCUGUUUGUGAACAAGAAAUGUACCUUUUUCUUGGGGGGGUUAUAAGUUGGCACUUACUCCAGUAUAGCAGCUCCCUGAAAGAGCCGUGAUGGCGGGACACUCCUUGGAGGGAUGUCAGUGAGCUGGAAAAGGUGUUUGGAAGGGCUGUGAGCAGCACCUCACAUUUCAGCUGACAAGGUAACUUGCCCACCUUCAUGCUGUGGGGGCAGUCCCCUAUCUUUAGGUAUUGUGUAGGAGUUCAAUCAACUCUUCAUGUGGUUUGAGCAGAAAGAAAUGCUUUGAACGUAGAACCAGACCCUUAGUCUGACGGAUGAGUGCCGGUGUUCAACAACUGAAUGGGCAGGUACAUAGGAUGGUGUAACUGUUGCAUUCUCCUUUUAAAACUCCAUAAAGUAUUCAUGUUCCCACGCUUGUCCUCACAUCCCCCUGUAGAGCUGAGAUGUGAUUAGUUCCUCAAUUUUCUUUUUCAGUUUCACUCUCUGCAUUUUUUUUCAAACAGACGAGAAGCUGUUGUCUUCAUUGUUUGCAUGAGCCAUGUCACUGGAGAUUUAGAGUGCAGAGUCAGACCAUGCUCAUUGGCAACAUCCUUUAGCACACAACAUCAUCAUUCUUUGAAUUAUUACGUCCUUUUGCUAUAGGGAAAGAGACUAUUUUGAAACAUUUGCAGUGUCAGAGUUCACAGGGGAAGAGCAAAUGCUUAGUCCUUAGCAGGACCCAUUUCAAUAGAAGUAGUGACUCUGCCGUGUCAGCCAAACCUGGAGCUGUUCUGCUUACCUGCUCUCGUGUCACUGGUGCCAUCAGGAUACUGGAACACUGGGAACCCAAGGGAAGUGCAGUGAUGGGGAGCAAUAAUGGUGGUUACAGACAGUAUAGAGGUAACAGAUGGUUCAGAACCAGGAGAGCUUGUGAUUUAGGUACUUAAAUAAUCAAACAUUUUUAUUGGAAAGAAACCCAAGCAGAAUGUAGUCAAAAUGGAGAUUGUAAUUUCUAUGACAGCAAGAUGACCUUCAUUUCCUUGGGGAGAAGAAAGGGAGGAGUUGAGUGAUGGAAAGAAAACAGGCUUCAGUUCUGAAGUACCUUGGAUUGCCCAUAUCAAAAAUAAAAACAGGAAUCCCAGUAGGAAGGUGCAGGAUUUAGCACUUUGGGCUGCCAGCCUGACACAUUUCCACUGGAGAGAGCUGG